rnacentral:lncRNA from 1 species
GGCUGCUUCUAGUGCUGAGACCUUUCCCUUCCUUUUCUUCAAUCUGGCCUUCUUUCCUGAUGGUUUUUAAUUAAUUCAGGAAAAUGGCUGAUAAUAUGAAAAUCGUAGUUUCAUAUUAUGAAAAUAAUAUGAAUUUUCAUUCAUAUUAUAAUGAAAUAUAAUGUUUUCAUUAUAUUCAUCAUCAAAUAACUACAAACUCAUAUUCUGAAAUCCUUAAUGUCACUUAAUCCUCCAUGGAGC